CUAGCAGAGUACCGCUAGGGUUAGCGGCAGACGGGUGAGUAAUACUUGGGCAAUCUGCCCUUGAGUGGGAAACAACCGGCCGAAAGGCUGGCUAAUGUCCCAUAAGACCACGGGAUGGCAUCAUCCAGGGGUCAAAGGUCCGCAAGGGCCGCUUGAGGAGGAGCCUGAGUCCUAUCAUGGUAGUUGGUGAGGUAACGGCUCACCAAGCCUUUGACGGGUAGCCGGCCUGAAAGGGUGAUCGGCCACACUGGCACUGAGACACGGGCCAGACUCCUACGGGAGGCAGCAGUGGGGAAUUUUGGACAAUGGGGGCAACCCUGAUCCAGCGACGCCGCGUGAAGGAUGAAGGUCUUCGGA
rnacentral:rRNA from 1 species